UAAUACGUAGGGUGCAAGCGUUGUCCGGAAUUACUGGGCGUAAAGAGCUCGUAGGCGGUUUGUCGCGUCGUCUGUGAAAACUCGAGGCUCAACCUCGAGCUUGCAGGCGAUACGGGCAGACUUGAGUACUGCAGGGGAGACUGGAAUUCCUGGUGUAGCGGUGAAAUGCGCAGAUAUCAGGAGGAACACCGGUGGCGAAGGCGGGUCUCUGGGCAGUAACUGACGCUGAGGAGCGAAAGCGUGGGUAGCGAACAGGAUUAGAUACCCUGGUAGUCCACGCCGUAAACGGUGGGCGCUAGGUGUGGGUUUCCUUCCACGGGAUCCGUGCCGUAGCUAACGCAUUAAGCGCCCCGCCUGGGGAGUACGGCCGCAAGGCUA
rnacentral:rRNA from 1 species